AUUAAAAUGAAAGUGGGGCAUUGCAGUGGUGAAGAGGAGCAUGUAUCAGAAUACAACAAAUAGCACAGCUAUAGUUAAUAGAGCGGUAGAACAAAAAUAAGAUAAUGCAGCAAAUAAAGCAUAUUGUAAAUAAAGGUAUGACCUAUUUGCCAUGCCGCAUGUUGGUUUGAACAAGUUCUCACUUUGCUGAUUGCUGACAGAUUUACAGAUUGCGUAAUCAGGUGUAAAUGGAGUGUGAAAGUGUGAAAUUACGCUGAAAUCCAACAGAUUCUUUAAAAACCACACAGAUUCCUGACUCUGAGCCGAGUUGAGUGUUUUCCAUUUAAAACAUCCAGUGGUUGAGGAAGUAUUCAGAUCCUUUACUCAAGUAAAAGUACUAAAACCACAUUGUAAAAAUACUUUAUUACAAGUAAAAGUCCUGCAUUGAAAAUGUUACUUUAGUAAAAGAAUGUAAGUAUAAUCAGAAAAAUAUACUUAGUGUUAAAAGUAUUCAAAGGUAUUCAAAGAAAAAUGCCCG